rnacentral:rRNA from 1 species
GAUGAACGCUAGCGGCAGGCUUAACACAUGCAAGUCGAGGGGUAUAGUAGCAAUACUAGAGACCGGCGCACGGGUGCGUAACGCGUAUGCAAUCUACCUUUUGCAGAGGGAUAGCCCAGAGAAAUUUGGAUUAAUACCUCAUAGUAUAGAACAAUCGCAUGAUUGAGCUAUUAAAGUCACAACGGCAAAAGAUGAGCAUGCGUCCCAUUAGUUAGUUGGUAAGGUAACGGCUUACCAAGACUACGAUGGGUAGGGGUCCUGAGAGGGAGAUCCCCCCACACUGGUACUGAGACACGGACCAGACUCCUACGGGAGGCAGCAGUGAGGAAUAUUGGACAAUGGGCGCAAGCCUGAUCCAGCCAUGCCGCGUGCAGGAUGACGGUCCUAUGGAUUGUAAACUGCUUUUGUACAGGAAGAAACACCUCUACGUGUAGAGACUUGACGGUACUGUAAGAAUAAGGAUCGGGCUAACUCCGUGCCAG